rnacentral:rRNA from 1 species
GCUAAUUACGGGCCAGCGGCCGUGGGAAGACUGAGGGUGGCGGGGUUAAUCGGAAUUACUGGGCGGAAAGCGUGCGCAGGCGGCGUUGCAAGACAGAUGUGAAAUCCCCGGGCUGAACCUGGGAAUUGCAUUUGGGACGGCAGGGCUGGAGUACGGCAGAGGGGGAUGGAAUUCCGCGUGUAGCAGUGAAAUGCGUAGAUAUGCGGAGGAACACCGAUGGCGAAGGCAGUCCCCUGGGCCUGUACUGACGCUCAUGCACGAAAGCGUGGGGAGCAAACAGGAUUAGAUACCCCGGUAGUC